CCUACGGGUGGCAGCAGUGGGGAAUAUUGCACAAUGGGGGAAACCCUGAUGCAGCGACGCCGCGUGAGCGAUGAAGUAUUUCGGUAUGUAAAGCUCUUUCAGCAGGGAAGAAAAUGACGGUAACUGACUAAGAAGCCCCGGCUAACUACGUGCCAGCAGCCGCGGUCAUACGUAGGGGGCAAGCGUUAUCUGGAUUUACUGGGUGUAAAGGGAGCGUAGACGGCGGUGCAAGCCAGAUGUGAAAGCCUGGGGCUCAACCCCGGGACUGCAGUUGUAACUGUGCUUCUAGAGUGUCGGAGAGGCAGGCGGAAUGCCUAGUGUAGCGGUGAAAUGCGUAGAUAUUAGGAGGAACACCAGUGGCGAAGGCGGCCUGCUGGACGAUGACUGACGUUGAGGCUCGAAAGCGUGGGGAGCAAACAGGAUUAGAUACCCCAGUAGUC
rnacentral:rRNA from 1 species